rnacentral:rRNA from 1 species
GCCAUCAGGUAAUGCUGGGGACUCUAAAGGAACUGCCUACGCAAGUAGUGAGGAAGCGGGGAUGACGUCAAAUCAGCAGGCCCUUACGUCCAGGGCUACACACGUGCUACAAUGGCCGAUACAGAGGGCAGCUACCUGGUGACAGGAUGCAAAUCUCCAAAGUCGGUCUCAGUUCGGAUCGGAGUCUGCAACCCGACUCCGUGAAGUUGGAUUCGCUAGUAAUCGCGCAUCCAGCCCAUGGCGACGGUAGAAUACGUCCCGGGCCGU